AUACGUAGGGGGCGAGCGUUGUCCGGAAUUAUUGGGCGUAAAGGGCGUGUAGGCGGCCAUGCAAGUCAGGGGUGAAACCCCGGGGCUCAACCCCGGGCAUGCCUCUGAAACUGCAGGGCUUGAGUGCUCUAGAGGGCAGUGGAAUCCCCGGUGUAGCAGUGAAAUGCGUAGAGAUCGGGAGGAACACCAGUGGCGAAGGCGACUGCCUGGGGAGUAACUGACGCUGAGGCGCGAAAGCUAGGGGAGCAAACAGGAUUAGAUACCCUGGUAGUCCUAGCCGUAAACGAUGAGUGCUAUGUGUGAGGGGUAUCGACCCCCCUCGUGCAGCAGUUAACGCAAUAAGCACUCCGCCUGGGGAGUACGGCCGCAAGGUUGAA
rnacentral:rRNA from 1 species